rnacentral:lncRNA from 1 species
AAUAACAAUGGUAGAACAAUGAACGUCGUUCAACCGACGCUUCGUCGCGUGGACUCGUCGGGGCAGCAACUGUUUUCGACGUACUGUAUACUCCGACCUUCCAUUGUCAUUCUUGCUGGAUAGACUUAGCGAGAUAUGUCGGUGUACACAAAAUGAGGAAGGUUGGCCAACAUCUUCGAAGACUUGUCUCUGUAAGCAGCGAGCUGGUUAUACGCAAGAAUCCGCAGGUGUCUUCAUUUACCGCCUUCCACGUGGCCACGAGCAGGCAACGAGCAUGGCUUCAAGUGGCUUCAACGAAGCAACGCAUAGAAAUCACUAAUUACGCAGGCAACGAGCCGGAAAUGUCACAACGGCCAGCCUGGCCGCUGCAGGUCAAGGGGACGAGGAACGUCGCAUGAAGGCCUUCAUGCGGGAGACGUGGACAACCUCGGUAGUACCGUAACGGCGGCCUGCUGGGGCUACAAGUCACGAGAUAAUUAACAGCCCCGAGCGAUGGCAGGCAACCUCCACGGAGAAUCAGGCAACCUCCACGCAGGCAACCUCCCGCCGCACCAGAUACAAGCCAAUCAAGAUUCCGACUUUUCUUUUUUCUUUUCACCACCCUAACCCGCAGGCCGCUUGCGGCGCAAGCUUGAAGCUUGCGACGCAAAUUGUAUCAGCUUGUUCGCUCAAUUCAAUAUGCUCCUGACGUUGGACUCUUUUUAUUACAUUUCCGCUUUCUCGGGAUGAAUAACAAGCGUAAGCGAAAUGCAGCAUCACUCCAGAUGCAGAGUACUGUAAACAAAUAUAAACUAAAACGACUCAAACUGCAAACAGGAGGCGCAGGGAUAUUGCGACCACGUGUGAUGAGCUUGUAAAUGACGUCCUAAACGCUAUAUAUAUAUUAUUUU